rnacentral:lncRNA from 1 species
GUGCACCAACAUAUGUAUAAUGUAAGCAUCAAAAGGAGAGGAAAGAGACAAAAUCAAAAAUAUAUUUGAAUAAAUAAUGGCUAAAAACAUAUGCAUUUUGAAAAAUAUCAUUAAUCUUCACAUCCAAAAAGCUCAAUAAACUCUAAGGAGGAAAUGCAACGAGCUCUUCAGCUGGACAUACUGUAGUCAAAAUGUUGAAAGAAAAAAUCGUGUGAAAGCAGCAAAAGAGGAAAACACUCAUCCUGUACCUGAACGCUAAGAACAACAGAACGUAAGACUGACAGUUGACUUAUCAUAAUGAUAUCCUUCUUUCCCAUUGAAAAAAUGUAGGUUGAUGAGAAGUGUCUGCUUCCAUUGCCCGUGAAUCCCUAACAGAAUGGUGCCAGGCUCCACCAGGAGACCUUCCUGAGUCCCAUCUGAAAGCCUCCACCUGAAUGCGUCCCUCAUUUUAAUGACCCAGCCAGGCUACCUCUGAAGAGAAGGGCAGUUCUCAGCAGCCUGAGGGGUGCUGGUAGAGACAUACCAAAAGGUGUUGUUGGUGCCACCUUUUUGCAAGAGAUGAAGAGAAAGUUCCCCUGCAGGCACUG